UGCGUCAGAGGAUCGUUAGCCCUCAGACUUCCCAAGGCAAAGUUCGAGGGCGCCAUGUUUUCACGGGAAGACGGUGGAAGACAACAUGCGGGGUCGCAGGGGGUGCUGGAGCCUAUCCCAGCUGUCUUCGGGCGAGAGGCGGGGUACACCCUGGACUGGUCGCCAGCCAAUCACAGGGCAAGAGUUUGUUCAGGCCCUGAAAAUAUAUCAAUAAUGACUGAAACCAGCCUGGAAGGAUUAGAAAUUUUGGAGCAAGUGUCUAAGAAGCAGAGUCCUCUCUGUGUGUAAAACAGCAGCUUGCACCAACUAAGAUGCCUGACUGAGAAGAAUAUUGAAGGACGUUGACGCUCAAGAAUUUGGUCUCAAAAGCUUAGACAAGGGUGGGGGUAUGCUGGGGGCGAGAGGCGGUGUACACCCUGGACUGGUGGCCAGCCAAUCACAGGGCGCAUAUAGACAAACAACCAUUCACACUCACAUUCAUACCUAUGGACAAUUUGGAGUGGCCAAUUAACCUAGCAUGUUUUUGGAAUGUGGGAGGAAACCGGAGUACCUGGAGAAAACCCACGCAUGCACGGGGAGAACAUGCAAACUCCACAGAGAUGCAACGGAGAAUCGAACCCAGGUCUUUGGUUUAGUUAUGAAAUGUUUAAUUUAUUUCACAGGUACCUCAGCCUGUGGAUGUGUUGUAUUUUUGUGCACCGUGAUCAAGUAUGUCCUUCCUUUUGAUGACCACAUAUAUAAACGGCCCCAUAUAAACGGCCCCUCUGCCAAAUGUUUUCAUUCAAUGUGGCUGGCAAGUAUAACUGAUUGUCUGAUGUGUGGAAGCAGUACAUGACACGUGUUGAACGAUUUCACUGUUAUUGUAAGUUAAGUUACAGUUCAGCACAUUUUAUUGUGUCUUUUAAUUGUAAUUAUUUGCAUAAUUGUGAAUGUAAAACAAAUCUCCAAUGAUUUAUAAUGUUUUCUAUGGUAUUUCUAACCGCACUCAUCACUGCUGGAAGUAAAUACAGCGUUACUACAAAUGUAGUAAAGGUGUUCUUGUUUGAAAGAAUGUUUUGCAGAAGAUGUGUUAAGAUAAUUUCAUUUAAUUCAAAGAAGGCCAUCUUAAAAAAUACAACACAAUCAUAUUAGAAAAGUAGUGUAGGUGGUCGCUUAAAUCUCAUGUAAAUAUUACUUAUAAAUUGCUCCAAAUUAAGUAAGGGAAAACUCGUUAAACAAUCCUGAAAAGUGAGUAUAUUUAUAUGGAUUUUUAAGUAGAUUCAAAGGCAGUUUUGAGUAAAAUAUACUAGCAAACUGUGAUGGGAAAAUUUAUAUUUCACAGGUAUAACUUAGGUUACACAUUGUGUGAAUUACUUUAUGGCCUUUUGAAGAGCUUCGACAUUUACAUCCGAGCACAUCCUGCUGUCCCUUCAAAGAUGGUGGCACAGCAGGAGGCUAUCUGUAACCUGGGGUUAGAGGCAGUGUCGGAGGAGGUCAUUCUUUGAUCAAAGCUCUACCUUCAUGGGACAAGGGGACAUCAAGAGGUCCCACCAAAUGGUUGACCCUAGGAGGUUAUCUUGCAUGGGUGUGACAAACCGUGCCAGAAGAAUGGGUGUGAAGGCUAACCCCCAUACAUGAGGAUGGCAUCGGGGGAGUGACCAGAAUGUCUCUUUUCUCUUGUAAUGUAAUUCAUUUGCAUGCUAUGGAGUAUAAAAGUUCCCGCCAAGAGACCACUCUUGGCCAGACACCUACAGACCGCCAUGCAUACUGUGUGUUGUCUGACCCCUUUGUUUUGCAAAGGUAAUAAAAACUGCCAGAGCUAUGUAUUUAUUUCAGGCAUUCUCUAUCCUACUUAGGAUGAUAGAAAUUUUUUCCACAACAAUUUGGUGUCAGAAGUGGGAUUCCUUGGCUGAUUGGAUCUGGACCUGUGGCGGACAGCGACUGAUCAUCCUGGAAUUAAUUUUUUCCUCCAGCCUCUCUGUCAUUGACAUUCAGAGAUUUUGAGGGCUGCCCGUCCAGGACUCCAGACCAUCACCACUGGAAUCUCUUAUCAGAGUGGAACAACGUCUUGUACACGGUGAGAAUGCUGAAAUGAAUGCUGGUCUGGCAUUAGGUAACA